rnacentral:rRNA from 1 species
AAUUUUGGACAAUGGGGGAAACCCUGACCCAGCCAUCCCGCGUGUAUGAUGAAGGCCUUCGGGUUGUAAAGUACAUUUGGCAGAGAAGAAAAGGUACCUCCUAAUAAGAGAUACUGCUGACGGUCUCUGCAGAAUAAGUACCGGCUAACUGCGUUACAGCAGCCGCGGUAAUAUGUAGGGUGCAAGCGUUAAUCGGAAUUACUGGGCGUAAAGCGGGUGUAGGCGGUUCGGGAAGAAAGAUGUGAAAACCCAGGGCUCAACCUUGGAACUGCAUUGUUAACUGCCGAGCUAGAGUAUGUCAGAGGGGGGUAGAAUUCCACGUGUAGCAGUGAAAUGCGUAGAUAUGUGGAGGAAUACCGAUGGCGAAGGCAGCCCCCUGGGAUAAUACUGACGCUCAGACACGAAAGCGUGGGGAGCAAACA